UUACUUACCUGAUCAGAGAUCCCAUGAUCAGAAAUAUAGUUUUCCCAGGACUAAGCUUAUCCAUUGCUCUCCUGAUGUGCUGACCCUUCGGUUUCCCCAAAUGUGGGAAACUCGACCGCAUAAUCUGUGGUAUUAGGAGACUGUGUUCAUGUUCUCCAC
rfam:Erinaceus europaeus unplaced genomic scaffold scaffold00395, whole genome shotgun sequence